AACUUGUUUGCCGGCCAUUUAAUGUGUGUUUAUCCCCGUCGGCACUUCCUGUAUUGACAUUAGGACCGCUCCUUUAUCGCAGCUGAUUGGUUACAGGCCUGACACUGAUAAACUAAUUUUCGCAAAUUGGGAAUAUUAUUGACAAAUUUAAAACUAAAUGAGCGCCAUGCCAGAAGAAAGCGGGCGGAAUAAAAAAGGCUGGUGUCCAUUUCGGCCACUAGGUGGCAGCAGAGGCUCUUUGUGUUACCUGAAGAAACCUUUAACUUCCGACCUGUUUACUGCUGCUGAGCUGACUUCCGGUCAGCGACGAUGUGAGCUCCAUUUUUGUGUUUUUAAUUUCAUAAAUUAUUCAUGAACAGGCUUCAAAACCAAGCCUACGUAAGAAUGCAAUAACGUUAUAUGGAGGUUAUUGUUGUGAGAAUGCUGACGUUGCAAGUACCAACACUUUGAUGACAAUCCAAGAGAGUAGAAGGUGGCGUCCAGCUGGCUCCUCCCUCCUUAUUGAUCAGCAUGCAUGACCACAGUCAACCAGCGUGUCCCCGGAGGCUGACGCAACAUGACGCCAUGGAUGCCUUCAGAUGAGCAGUGCUACGCUCCAACUAAGGAUGGCUUCCAAAUCCGGUACUUCUUUGGCACAGACUGAAUCCCGCCGGUCCUACGGUACGCCCGGUUGCGCUUUGGCACUUGGCGAUCACUCCAGCAGCACCGAGAGCCGACUCGGCCAAACUACCUCCAGUGAGCGGCCAGCGUAGGAGAGGGAAGGAGAGAGAGACACACACAUCUGAAAAGAUUGUACUGAAAAGAUCAAUUGAAACACAUGGUGAUUAAAGGCUUGGUGAAACGGC